CGUAGGGUGCAAGCGUUGUCCGGAAUUAUUGGGCGUAAAGAGCUCGUAGGCGGUCUGUCGCGUCGGCUGUGAAACUCGGGGCUCAACCCCGAGCCUGCAGUCGAUACGGGCAGACUAGAGUGCUGUAGGGGAGACUGGAAUUCCUGGUGUAGCGGUGAAAUGCGCAGAUAUCAGGAGGAACACCGGUGGCGAAGGCGGGUCUCUGGGCAGUAACUGACGCUGAGGAGCGAAAGCGUGGGAGCAAACAGGAUU
rnacentral:rRNA from 1 species